rnacentral:misc_RNA from 1 species
GAUAAUUCUCCUUCCGCUUGCGCCUUCCACGGCCACAUCACUGGGGAGAGGGGGUUGUUUACGUUGUCGCCGCCACACCAGGGAAUUGACGGUGAGUGGAGCGACGGCUCUGGCGUGAUCGUUUACAAGUGGAAUGAUAAGUCCAACCGUCCAAAUACCGGAACUGGCAACUGGAAGAGACGGUGGAGUUGUUGCUCUGAGUACGAUGAACAUGCCCCUCCUUGUCGUCGGGGAUGCCAUGUUUCUUACGAUGAUGGUUUCACCUUGUUUUAACUAGAACCGAC